rnacentral:lncRNA from 1 species
UGACCUACACUGCAGGUCACAGCAACACCGGAUCCUUAGCCCAUUGAGUGAGGCCAGAGAUUGAACCCACAUCCUCGUGGAUACUAAUCGGACUUGUUUCCACUGCGCCACAAGAGGAAUUCCCAUUUUCCCUGUUUUAAAGAGAAGCAAACCAAGCCUCAGGGAACUUGAGAAAAUGUUUUCAGGAUUGAAUUCCUAAUAAAUGGUAACUUUGGGAUUGAACUCAGUGUAUUUAAUGCCAGAGUUCAGGCACUUUCCAUCACACCAUUGAGCCAUUGUGUAUCCUGGAGACAGUGGUAUUAUUUUGUUCAAUGAGCCUCACCAGGAAUUCUUAAACAUCAUUUCUGUCAGAGCCUUACUAAUUUUCUGUUCGAAUAUUCUAGGAAGAGGAAGUUCACUACUCCUUCCAGGUAGCCCAGUUUACUGGAAGGAAAUGUUUUGAAGUUCUUCGUUUUAACAUAUAUCGUAUAUGUUAUAUUGUUACGAUAUAUAUCAUGUGUAUGAUAUAUUGUUACAUAUGUAUAUGUAUUUGCAUAUGUGUAUAUAUUUAUAUAUGUGUAUAUUUGUAUAUAUUUCCUUCUUACUUCUUUCCACCCUGCAGUGUCUAUCAGAAAUCUGUGGAGCUUUUUAAAAUGUGUAGAUGUGAUGUGUGCCUUUAGGAGUUCAGAUGUCUGUUUUGUGAAAAAUUAUCCUGGAGGGAUUCUGAAGUGUAUCCCUACCUAAGAACUAAUUUAUACCAGUGGGUUAGCAAACUAUGACCAGCAGGCAAAAUCUAGUUUCUUUUUUCUUUUUCCUUUUUUUUUUUUUUGUUUGAUCCGUUUUUAUUUAUAUUUUUAUUUAUUUAUUUUGCUUUUUAGGGCCACACCCAUGACAUAUGGAUAUUCUCAGGGUGGGGUGUCGAAUUGGAGCUACAGCUGCUGGCCUACCACAGCAAUGGCAGGUCCGAUCCAAGUCUUCCAUGUACAUCACAGCUCACAGCAACUCCGGAUCCUUAACCCAUGGAGCGAGGCCAGGGAUGGAACCCGCAACCUCUUGGUUCCUAGUCGGAUUUGUUUCCUCUGAGCCACGAUGGGAAGUCCUGGAUCUGUUUUUACAAAUAAAGUUUUAUUGACCCGUAGCCAUUCCUACUCAUUUAUGUAUUACCUCUGGCGGUUUCCAAGCUAGAGCAGACUUGAGCAGUUCCGACAGACACUGUCUGGUCCACAAAACCAAAACAAUUUACUUUUGGCCCUUUCCAGAAGAGGCUUGCUGCCUUCCAUUCUGGAAUAUGAGUGCUCAUAAAAAAAAAUGACCUGGAGACAUCGCUAAAGAUGUCAGUGAGCUGAGGGAGGAGUUGUUCGUGGAUUUGGAAUAGCACCCGAGAGGCUCUAAGGCAGGAAGGCACUUGGCUUAUUCCUGGGACUGAAAGGUGUUCCCUGGUCCCUGGUGGAAGAGGACAAGGAGCGGGUGGGAGGGCACGUCACACGGGGUCUGGGGCGCUUUGGGAGAUGCCUGGACUGUCGUCACACAUUAAAACAAAUGAAAGGUUUAAAGUAAGGGAAGUGAUAUGGACAUUUUAUCUUUUGAAGGAUUAUACCAGCUGGAUGAGGCAGGGAGAAGAGACUGGGCAGGGCAGGAAAGCACACAGAAUGACCAGUGGAGACCCCUGUGGCCCCGCUGAAUGAUAAUGGUGACUUGGAUGAGGCUGUCCCAAGCCUUGUAUCCCGGCAAGAACUUCAGCUGGAAUGGAUGGCAUGAGCGGCAGAACAUAAACUCUGAGCAGCAAGGAAAUCUUCAUGGAUGAUGGUGGCAUCAAGAGGGGGCAUAAAAGAUGGUGCAAAUCUGGAUCCCCAAGAGAAAACAAGUGGCUGCCUUCUCUCUCUCCACGUUCUAAUUUAGGAUGUGGUCUAAAAAGACCUGAAGAGACAGUAAUUCUUCAUGAAUAUCCUUGAGUUGAUACUUCCUUUUCUUGGCAAAAUGGCCAACAUCGUAUCAGAGUCAGCCUUGAAGAGGGGUCAGCGCUAUCUCUCCAGCCCCUUGAGUUUUGCUUUUGGGGUCAGCCAUUUUGAGCAUUUCCUAUUAAUCCAUCUCCAAUAACAAUUAUAAAUGGAAUAUUUUACUUUGCUUGAUCACAUUUCUAGUUCUGGUUGGCUCGUCUUUGUUAUUCUUUGUAUAAAACGUAGUAUUAGGAAAUGCUUGCACUGUUGGACUUCCGAGCAUUUUGCUUUAUUCUAGAGCACGUCACGCUUCAUAUCACAGCCCUCGGGAGCCUGCAUGUGAGUGAUGUGGAUACACACACAUACACAUGGUAGGAAAAGAGAAUCCUGUCCACCGACGUUCAUAGGAGGACCAGUUGCUCUUCAAGACCUUCAGGCCGAUUGUGUAGUUAUGGAACCUGCUGGGGAUUGUUCGCUCUUUGUGUUGAGAACGUUCUUGGCCAGAGGAGCGAGUCUACCCGUGACACUUAGGUUGCCACUGCCUCUUCUUCCCCAUUGUCUAGGAUGAGCAACCACCUCCCAUGGCUUGAUCCCAUCUUUUAAAUAGAUGGCCCAGGAGGAUGCGUUCAUGUCUGGUGGAGAGGAAAUGCAGGUCUGUGACAUCACGUGAGCCCCAUGAGUGAUCUAUUUCAAGGCAGAUGACAGACAUCCUCCAGGAUGCUCUCUGCGGGCUCCGCAUGAAUACAGAGUGAAACAAGGAAAGUCGGUAUUCAUGGCGCAGCACCCGCAGAGUAACCCAGACAUGGAGAAGGAGAGAUGGGAGAGUGGGGACAGUAAGGGAGGCUGCUUCCUGGAUGCUGCUGACCUGGCAGGGCUCCGGGGGCUCCCUGGUGAACAGAUCCCUGUGGUGGAAUGGGUGGAGGCUGCUUCGAAUUCCUCUUGGCAGCCCUGGUGAGAAAGGAAAAGAAGGUUGAGGAAGGCCACGUUGGAAGGUGCUCGUUCCGUGUGAGAAAAUGGUGACUGGAAAUAGCUUUCGUCCUCGCCAAAGGACACACCAGAAGACAUCGGGCGAGUGUCAUCGUCAUGGCCAGGAAACAUCUGGCUCAGUCAGGAAGCGGAUGGAGUUGGAACAUAGGCACAUCUGCGAUGAUAGUAGGGUGGGAUCCAAGAAUAUGAAGAAAUUCCAACUUUGGGGAGAGGAGAUUG